rnacentral:lncRNA from 1 species
GUCUCCCAUCUCGUCGUGAUAUGGCUUGAGAAGACUCACAUGGAAGACCGGAUGGGUCUUGAGUCUUGGGGGAAGCUGGAGUUGAUACGAGACGUUGCCCACACGUCGAACAACUUGGAAGGGUCCCUCGUAGCGUCUCACUAACCCCUUGUGGACUUUCCGUAAUGUCUUGAAUUGUUGGGGUAGGAGCUUGAUCAUGACUUGAUCACCUUCCUUGUACUCAAAAUGUCGUCUCCUUGUAUCCGC